rnacentral:rRNA from 1 species
CGAACGGGUGAGUAACACGUGAGUAACCUGCCCACAACUUUGGGAUAACGCUAGGAAACUGGUGCUAAUACUGGAUAUGUGCUCCUGCUGCAUGGUGGGGGUUGGAAAGCUCCGGCGGUUGUGGAUGGACUCGCGGCCUAUCAGCUUGUUGGUGGGGUAGUGGCUUACCAAGGCUUUGACGGGUAGCCGGCCUGAGAGGGUGACCGGCCACAUUGGGACUGAGAUACGGCCCAG